GCAUGGUUGUCGUCAGCUCGUGUCGUAAAAUGUUCGGGUUAAGUCCGAUAACGAGCGCAACCCUUAUUGCUAGUUACUAACAUUCAGUUGAGCACUCUAGUAAUACUGCCGGUGACAAACCGGAGGAAGGUGGGGAUGACGUCAAAUCAUCAUGCCCCUUACGUCUAGGGCUACAGGCGUGCUACAAUGGCUGGUACAAAAAGAAGCAAUACCGUGAGGUGGAGCAAAUCUCUAAAACCAGUCUCAGUUCGGAUUGGAGUCUGCAACUCGACUCCAUGAAGCUGGAAUCGCUAGUAAUCCUGAAUCAGAAUGUCAGGGUGAAUACGUUCCCGGGUGUUGUACACACCGCCCGUCACGCUAUGGGAGUCUGUAAUACCCGAAGUUGGUAGCCUAACCCGCAAGGGAGGGGGCCGGCGAAGGUAGGACAGGUGACUGGAGUGAAGUCGUAACAAGGUAUCCCUACGGGAACG
rnacentral:rRNA from 1 species